CCUGUUGAAGUGUAAUCCCCA
rnacentral:miRNA from 2 species